rnacentral:rRNA from 1 species
GGGGAAUAUUGGGCAAUGGAGGAAACUCUGACCCAGCAACGCCGCGUGAGUGAAGAAGGUCUUCGGAUUGUAAAGCUCUGUGGAUAGGAAUGAAAAAAAUGACAGUACCUAUAGAGCAAGCCACGGCAAACUACGUGCCAGCAGCCGCGGUAAUACGUAGGUGGCAAGCGUUGUCCGGAAUGACUGGGCGUAAAGGGUGCGUAGGUGGCUGAUCAAGUUAGAAGUGUAAUACCCGGGCUUAACCUGGGUGCUACUUCUAAGACUGAUUAGCUUGAGUGUGGGAGAGGUAAGCGGAAUUCCUAGUGUAGCGGUGGAAUGCGUAGAUAUUAGGAGGAACACCCGCGGCGAAGGCGGCUUACUGGACCAUAACUGACACUGAGGCACGAAAGCGUGGGUAGCAAAC